rnacentral:rRNA from 1 species
UGGGGAAUAUUGCACAAUGGGGGAAACCCUGAUGCAGCAACGCCGCGUGAGUGAUGACGGUCUUCGGAUUGUAAAGCUCUGUCUUCAGGGACGAUAAUGACGGUACCUGAGGAGGAAGCCACGGCUAACUACGUGCCAGCAGCCGCGGUACUACGUAGGUGGCAAGCGUUGUCCGGAUUUACUGGGCGUAAAGGAUGCGUAGGCGGAUACUUAAGUCAGAUGUGAAAAUCCCGGGCUUAACUUGGGAACUGCAUUUGAAACUGGGUAUCUAGAGUGCGGGAGAGGAAAGUGGAAUUCCUAGUGUAGCGGUGAAAUGCGUAGAGAUUAGGAAGAACACCAGUGGCGAAGGCGACUUUCUGGACCGUAACUGACGCUGAGGCAUGAAAGCGUGGGGAGCAAACA